rnacentral:rRNA from 1 species
CCUACGGGUGGCAGCAGUGGGGAAUAUUGGUCAAUGGGCGCAAGCCUGACCCAGCAACGCCGCGUGAAGGAAGAAGGCCCUCGGGUUGUAAACUUCUUUUCUAUAGGACGAAGAAGUGACGAUACUAUAUGAAUAAGCCACGGCUAACUACGGGCCAGCAGCCGCGGUAAUACGUAGGUGGCGAGCGUUAUCCGGAUUUACUGGGUGUAAAGGGCGUGUAGGCGGGAGAGGAAGUCAGAUGUGAAAACUACAGGCUUAACCUGUAGCCUGCAUUUGAAACUGUUCUUCUUGAGUGAUGGAGAGGCAGGCGGAAUUCGUGGUGUAGCGGUGAAAUGCGUAGAUAUUACGAAGAACACCGAUGGCGAAGGCAGCCUGCUGGACAUUAACUGACGCUGAGGCGCGAAAGCGUGGGGAGCAAACAGGAUUAGAUACCCGGGUAGUC